rnacentral:misc_RNA from 1 species
AAGUCGUAACAAGGUCUCCGUUGGUGAACCAGCGGAGGGAUCAUUAUUGAGUUCUAAACAACUCCCAAACCCAUGUGAACAUACCUUUUGUUGCUUCGGCGGGAUCGCCCCGGGUGCCGGUUCGUCCGCGCCCCGGAGUCAGGCGCCCGCCAGAGGACCUAAACUCUUGUAUUAUUGAGAAUAUCUGAGUGGAUUACACAAAUAAUCAAAACUUUCAACAACGGAUCUCUUGGUUCUG